UCUUAUGGAUGAGCAAAGGAUGUAUUUUCAUGAAAUGGAAAUUACUUCUGGUGAAGAUACUACGAA
rnacentral:pre_miRNA from 1 species